GAUGAACGCUGGCGGCGUGCCUAAUACAUGCAAGUCGAGCGAACAGACGAGGAGCUUGCUCCUCUGAUGUUAGCGGCGGACGGGUGAGUAACACGUGGAUAACCUACCUAUAAGACUGGGAUAAUUUCGGGAAACCGGAGCUAAUACCGGAUAACAUGUUGAACCGCAUGGUUCAACAGUGAAAGACGGUCUUGCUGUCACUUAUAGAUGGAUCCGCGCCGCAUUAGCGAGUUGGUAAGGUAACGGCUUACCAAGGCAACGAUGCGUAGCCGACCUGAGAGGGUGAUCGGCCACACUGGAACUGAGACACGGUCCAGACUCCUACGGGAGGCAGCAGUAGGGAAUCUUACGCAAUGGGCGAAAGCCUGACGGAGCAACGCCGCGUGAGUGAAGAAGGUCUUCGGAUCGUAAAACUCUGUUAUUAGGGAAGAACAAAUGUGUAAGUAACUAUGCACGUCUUGACGGUACCUAAUCAGAAAGCCACGGCUAACUACGUG
rnacentral:rRNA from 1 species